ensembl:lncRNA
AGACAUCACUGCGAAAGAGCGCGCGAAACAAUUUCGUGCGAUUGCGAUUUCGGCAGUUUACGUAGUUUUUCCGCAGAAAAAUGUUUAAAAAACCACCGCAAAUUUGCCGAUGCAGCAAAAUCGAGCAUUUUAUGUGUCGUGUAAUCAGGAUGGCGACGGACGCAAACGCAGUUAAAGCGUUUAAUGAGAGACAGGCAGACAAAUCCAAAACGCGAGGCAACAUUGAUUUCCAGAAAACAGGCGAGGGUCAGGCAAUCUACAAACGAUAUAAACUAGGCUCGACAAGGAGCAAAAACGAGAAACAACGAACGGGAACGAGACGAGAAACGAAGCACGGAACGGCUCGGUAGAACACUAGCAGCCAAACGCAGAAACAAUACUUCGCCCUGAACAAAGACACAAGGGGGUAUAAAUACACAACGAAAUCAAAGCUAAAACAUAAACAGCUGUGAAUAACGACCUCACGUGAGGGAGACGUCCAAUAACACGACAGGGGCGGAGACACGAAAUGACCACCCGGAAGCUUGCGAUGUCGUGCUACUGGCUGUUGAGGGCAAAUCUCUGACAUUUUGGCCUCAAUAAUCAUAAUCGCUCCUUUAUGGACCGAUUUCUCACAGUGGCUGUUGAUAAGGUGGUUGGGCAGGUUGUGCACUAAGUAUAGGGUCGGCGGUUCGAUUCCCGGCCCACGUGACUCCACAUACCAAAGUGUCGUUGGGCAAGACACUGAACCCCAAGUUGCUCCCCAUGGCAAGUUAGCACCUUGCAUGGCAGCUCUGCUACCAUUCACAAUUACAAUCGGCUUGUAGCUACGUGUGUCGCGAAAGUAUAUAACAAACAUGAUCAUAAACACAAAUUUAUCCCACUGCACAUGCAAAUUAGCGCUUGUUAUUUUGUAUUUUAAUGACUCGGGGUGUACAUUUUGCAUCGGUUUGUUUGGGAUGUGCGACGGUUGGUCACUUGUACAAAACCUUUCUUUAUGCAUCACUUACGAACACUUCACCGUGAGCGGAAAAUCAAAUGGGAUCUUUGUGUGCGGCGUCUUUAUUCGUUUUCCCACAUCUACUCUUUCAUCGCAGUCUCACUCUCCUGCUGCUUUUUGUCGUAUUAAAAUGUUCAGUCUCAGACAGAUGUGUGUGUGUGUGUGUGUGUGUGUGUGUGUGUGCGUAUGCAUUCACCGUUCAGCGUUCAGCAUGAUCAGUUUGAAGAUGACUUCUACUAAAGCGAAAGCGCUCUGCUGCCCUGAGGUUAAAAUCCCCAAGCAAAGGAGGCAAAGAGACAGUGACGGAGUGACAGCGAGACGACAACAGUGAACGAGGGCAGACAGACAGACGGGUGAAAAACGCAACACCGAUGCGAUGUAGACCAUCAGAUGUACACAGAUGCCAGAAAACGUAUCAUAACAUCACAUCACAUAAGAUUAACACAAGUGCUUUCACUUUGAAGGUACAAAAGUGGCAAGUGUUUAUACUCUGCUCAAUUCUGAUUGGUCAGAAGGUGCUGAUUCAUUUUCUAUAGCAGCAGCGCUGAGGGUAGUGCAUCAUCAUGCCACCAUUUCAUCGAAUAUAUUCCUAUAACAGCAUGACGCCCAAUGAUUUAGUCCUGCAUUAAUUUAGUCCUGGGUUACUGAAUGGAAGGUCGGGGGUUCAAGCCCCAGCACUGCCAGGCUCCGGGUUACUGAUUGGAAGGUCGGGGGUUCAAGCCCCAGCACUGGCAGGCUCUGGGUUACUGAUCGGAAGGUCGGGGGUUCAUGCCCCAGCACUGCCAGGCUCUGGGUUACUGAUCGGAAGGUCGGGGGUUCAUGCCCCAGCACUGCCAGGCUCCGGGUUACUGAUUGGAAGGUCGGGGGUUCAAGCCCCAGCACUGGCAGGCUCUGGGUUACUGAUCGGAAGGUCGGGGGUUCAUGCCCCAGCACUGGCAGGCUCUGGGUUACUGAUCGGAAGGGUCGGGGGUUCAUGCCCCAGCACUGCCAGGCUCUGGGUUACUGAUUGGAAGGUCCGGGGUUCAAACCCUGGUGCAGCCAAGCUGCCACUGUUGGGACCUUUAGCAAGGGGCCCUUAACUCCCUCUGCUCCAUGGCUGACCCUACACUCUGACUUUCUGGUAAGCUGAGGUAUGUGAAGAAAAGAAUUUCACUGUGCUGUAAUGUACAGAUGACUCAUUAUCGUUAUCGCUUGCUCACUUCUUCCAAGUUUAGUAUGACAUUGGAUCUAGGUUCCAUAAUGCCGUGCGUGUUCGUAUUUGUGUCUCCAACCUUUUACCACUCCAGACUAUUGAGCUAGGCUAAUGAGCCCAUUUAGGAUGGUCACAGUAUUAAGUAAGUGCGAGUGAGCCGUGACUCAUGUCUACUUCAUCACUUUCUGUUUGCUUUGGAUUAGACAACGUGAUCCUGUCGCUAAUCCGUCCUCAGCUCUCUCCCAAUCCCUGCGUAAACAGAGCCAGAUUAAUACCGAAGUGUCCUAAGAGACACAAUCCUGUAAAAAGGUUAUUCAAAUACACUCCCAAGACCCGGUUUGACUCCCAUUAGUUAUCAAAAGCAAAUAGAACGAAUUUGCAUAUUCGAUCGUGUAUCUAAAACCGCGAACACUAAGCUUUCACACUGGAGAAUCCUUACAUAAAUGACCAAUCAGAAUCCAGAAUUCACAAACGUUGUAAAUACCAG